GACUCUUUGGUCCUCAAAUUUUAAUUUAUUACACUUUCAGCUCGAACUUUCGAAAUCAUUACAAUCAUAUUCUAUAACCUUAGUUAGAUUUUAAUGUACCACAAACGUAGAAAUAAUAGAGUAGCAUUGUAAUUAAUAAUGUGCCAAUAAUUAAAAUGCUACAAUAUUUUUACAUUAGCGAUGCGUUAAUAUUUAGUCAAUUAAAUUGGAUUGCUGGAUUUGAUUGUAAUAAUUCUAGAAGUUCAAGCCAGAAAUUAUAAUAAGUUUAAGUUUGAGGGCUAAAAUGU
rnacentral:lncRNA from 1 species